CUGUUUGGUUCAGGCAGAGAUGUCCUUGGCCUUCUGAAAAAUUUGGAGGUGCAGUGAGAAAUAAUGAAACUCAAAAAGGAGGACUGAAUUAUAAACAACUUCUUCUCCUUCUCCUCUGGCUCACAAAGAUCACCAUCAGCUGGCUACCAAAUGACAUGACGUUCCUUCUCAUCCUCUGCUGACAUCCAAACUUACUGUGGAACAGCACCAGAGACUAGAAAAGUGGCAUCAAGGUCUGACCAGAGGCAGUGCAGAAAAU
rnacentral:lncRNA from 1 species